CGUGGAUUAGGCAUGCAAGUCGAACGGGAUCGUCUGGAUAGCAAUAUCGGGCGUGAGAGUGGCGGAUUGGGGAGGAGCACGUGAGCAACCUGCCCUGGAGAUGUGGAAAACCUCUGGAAACGGAGGCUAAUACAGAAUGUGGCGCCCCAUGGCAUCAUGGGAGCGCCGAAGGGGGCCGCAAGGCUCCCGCUCCGGGAUGGGCUCGCGCACCAUCAGCUAGUUGGCGGGUAACGGCCACCAAGGCCUACGGUUAGCUGGUCUGAGAGGAUGACCAGCCCCACUGGGACUGAGAUACUGCCCAGACUCCUACGGGAGGCUGCAGUCGAGGAUCAUUCGCAAUGGACGGAAGUCUGACGAUGCGACGCUGCGUGGAGGAUGAAAGGCCUUCGGGUCGUAAACUCCUGUCAUGAGGGAAGAGGCGAGGGAAGCUAAUACCUUCUUUAGUUGACUGUACCUCAAGAGGAAGCGACGGCUAACUCUGUGCCAGCCGCUGC
rnacentral:rRNA from 1 species